AUAUUUAAAUCAAGUCUAAUUAGUUAACCCUUCUUAACCUUCAAACCCUACUGGAUUUCACUCUCAAAAGCAAAGAUUCAAGAACCCACCUCCUUAUUCGGCUGAUAAACCGACGCGGAAGAAGAAGGGUCGUGGCCGUGGUGGUGGCUGUGCCGGGGUUUCUAGAUCUGAGAAUCAAAUCUCAGACAAAUGAUCUCCUCAUCCCGUUCAUCCAAAAAUUUCAUAACAAAAAAAUCGUCGUCAAGUGUACCACCAUCCAAAAAUUAAUCAUUGUCUUCGCUAAUGGCAGAAACGAUAUCCUUCUCUCCCCCAUGGAAAUCAUCUCAAGGUUUUGAUCGAUAAGUCACUAAACUGCUUGUUUACAUCUUCUAUGAACUUUUCAUAUUCAACAAUAAUUCUUAUAGCAGAAAUUGACUCUAAUUUUUAAGUUAUUAAUAGAUCUAUGGGAUGAAAGUCAUACUUUUUCGGAGCUUUUUCAAGCUUGCGCAGCGGCAGAAUAGGGGCGAUGACAAUUUGACAGCUGCAGAUCUAAAAUUUCUCACUAUUUUUUUGUUUUUCUUUUUUCUUUUUCCAACACUGGUCUGCUCAAUAAUGGUGAUGACAAUUUGCUGCAAAUUUCUCUUUUCUGUUUUUCAUUUUUCCUUUUUCCUUUUUCUUUCCCCAGUGUUGGUCUGCUUGAUAAUGGAGAAUGAUGGGUGUGAUGUUGCUGCAUAUUUGUUGAAAAGAAAUGAUGGAGAACUUUUUCUUUUCCUAGUGUAUAUAUAUUGAUCAAAAGAAUGGGGGAUUUUUUAUCGAUCGAUUGAAGGAUAUUUGUUUGAGAUUUUUUUGUUUUGUUUUCCUCUCCGGCGGAAUUACCGGCGGCAGGAGCUUCGCGGCAGAGGCGGCAUUUUUGAUCAGAGACUUUCUGGUGCGGCGGUUGUGGUGGCUCAUUCGACUUUCUGGGAGAGAGAAAAAUAGGGAGAGAGAUAUAAGGUAUUUUGACGAUUUUGCCCUUUAUUUAAACAGAUUUGUUUAUGUAAUGAAUAAAAAAUAGUUUUUUAUGCCACAUAAGCUGCUUAAGACCCCACACAAUUAGCCACGUCAGUAAUUUCUGAUGUGGCAUGUUCAAUUUGUUGUAAUUGAAAAAAAUUGAUAGUUUAAUCACCCAAAUGACAAAAUUGAAAGGUGGAUCAUAGAAGUGGAAUAUGGCCUAUAGUUUAGGGUACACUACAAGAAAAUCAGUCAUUACCGAUGGGCACUGCCGUCGCCAAUGACCAUAGUGCCGUCGGCAGUGAGGUCAUUGGCGACGGGCACAACCGUCGACCAUGCCGUUGCCCCACAGGUCGUCACCCCUGUUUCCCAUCGUCAGCUGUCGGCAUCAUUGUCUUUACCGACGGUAGUCAUUGGCGACGACGUAAGGUUAUUGGCGACGGCGGUAGCGACGGCAAGGCCUUCGGCAAAGUCCCACAGUUUUUUUGAGGGAAAAACUCAUUACCGACGGCAUGGCCAUUGGCACUGACAGAGUAGCCGUCGGCAAUGACCAUUGUCUCAUGUUUGUCGCUAUAAGGCAUUGGCGACGGCAUAGCUGUCGCCAUUACCCCCGUCGGCAAUGACUACAUAAAUUUUGAAAAUUUUUUUUAAUUUCAAAAUUUCCCUGUUCAUUUACAAAUAUACACCUAUUAUAAACUAAUAACAACCAUCAAAUCACAGCUAUACCUCUUAGAAACUAGUAACCCAAAUCAAUUAUAUUGAUAAAAAAUAUAAUGGUCGUCGGUACAACUCAAAAACUGUACAAAUACAUACAUGAAACUCAGAAUAUAACAUAAACUAAACUAACUACAACCCGUCGCCUGUCUCCAUGUCAUCGAGUCGGCGGUCAUCACCAUGUACUGGAGGAGGCUGCUCGUCAUCAACUCGAUGGUCAUCACCCUGUACUGGAGGAGGCUGCUCGUCAUCAGCUCGGCGGUCAUCACCAGUGCCUCCACCUCCACGAGUCUCAUCAACAAGACCCUACAAAAUUAAAAUAUUAAUAACAAAAUCAAAAUGAAAACAUAUUUGCAUUAUUUUAGUUUGUGUUCUUCAAGUUAGGCGAACGGGACUCGAACUCGAGCUCCGUAUAUCGGAAUUGAGUCCCGUCAGUUGUAACGCGUGUCUAUUACCUACGCAGUGGUAUGUGUGUGUUUGCGUGUCAUUCAGACGGCCGAUGCGGGUUUUGACCUCUCUUUUGGCUUUUUGGCUAAGUGUUGGCUAGUUUUACAAACUGGGCGAUAACUCGGUCUACGUAUGUCAGAAUCGAGUCCCGUCAGUUGUAACGCGUGUCUAUUGCCUACGCGGUGCUAUUGCCUAUGUUUACGUGUCAUUUGGACGAUCGAUGCGGGUUUUGACCUCUUUUUUGGCUUUUUGGCUAAGUGUUGGCUAGUUUUAUAAACUGGGCUCGAACUCGGUCUCCGUAUGUCGGAAUCGAGUCCCGUUAGUUGUAACGCGUGUCUAUUGUCUACGCGGUGCUAUUGCCUGUAUUUGCGUGUCAUUCGGACGACCGAUGCGAGUUUUGACCUCUUUUUCGGCUUUUUGGCUAAGUGUUGGCUAAUUUUGCAAACUGGGCUCGAACUCGGUCUCCAUAUGUCAGAAUCGAGUCCCGUCAGUUGUAACACGUGUCUAUUGCCUACGCGGUACUAUUGCCUGCAUUUACGUGUCAUUCGGAUGGCCGAUGCGGGUUUUGACCUCUUUUUUGGCUUUUUAGCUAAGUGUUGAAUAGUUUUGCAAACUGGGCGAUAACUCGGUCUCCGUAUGUCAGAAUCGAGUCCCGUCAGUUGUAAUGCGUGUCUAUUUCAUACGCGGUGCUAUUUCCUGUGUUUGCGUGUUAACUGGACGACCGAGGUGAGUUUUGGUCUCUUUUUCGACUAAUUUUCUAAGUUUUCUCAAGUUAGGCGUACGGGGCUCGAACUCGGUCUCCGAAUGUCGGAAUUGAGUCCCGUCAGUUGUAACGCGUGUCUAUUGCCUACGCGGUGCUAUUGCAUGUGUUUGCGUAUUAACUGGAUGACCGAGACGAGUUUUGGUCUCUUUUUUGACUAAUUUCCUAAGUUUUCUCAAGUUAGGCGUACGGGGCUUGAAAUCGGUCUCCGUAUGUCAGAAUCAAGUCCCGUCAGUUCUAACGUGUGUCUAUUGCCUACGCGGUGCUAACUAGUUAUUUGACAGUUUAUAUAAGUAAUAUAAUUACAAAUAAGGAAAUACAUCAAUAAUAAGUUUUACCUGUCGAAUAUGUGGAGGAAAGAUGUUGGCCAAGACAACUGUACAUACACGGAUGGCCUCUUCCCGGACUACACCCAUGAGGUCGUCAGCAGCAGCUGUAGGAUCUAUGGAGCCGUGGACAACCUCCUGAGGAAGCUGGUAGAUCCGCUCGCGUGAUGGUGCGCCUGACUGCACGACACUACUCGACAUGCACCCCUCAAUGAUCCGCCUGAAGAAGUCGUCGGAUAAUGAAGGGCCGGCACCUGAUCCACUCUUACCACUACCUUCGGUGGGUGGGCGACGUCGAGAUCUCGCAGCAGGGACUAUAGUGUAGGCUGAGAAACGGGGAAUGCCCACAAUUCUACCCUUCUUCGGCUCCCCUGUAGCCUGCAGCCAGUCCUCUAUCUCCUCGUCGUCACGCUCAGCAUCAGCCACUGGAGUGUCACCUCUCUGGCUACUCCGGACCACAGAAAGGUCCUCGAACCGUGUCUAAAAAAACACAAAAAUAGUUAAAAAGCAAGUAUUUUGCUAAAAGAAUACAAAAGGAUUUCAAAGUCAUCAAAUACAUACUAACUAAAAUAAUUAAAUUACUUACCGCAAUGUGCUCUACCUCAGGUGAGAUAUAACCACCAUCACCUUUCUUCUGGUGAGCGUGCCACCAAAACUCAAGGUGGGAAGGUCGGUGCUUUAGACUCACCUCGAGUCUCUCCCUGUAGAGGUCGUACGACUGACUCCCGGUGCAGUGUGGGAGACGACUCUGCUGUCGGGCAGCUGUACGCUGUGCCGACAUCUUCUUGAACGCUUCACCCUCCCAAAUAUCGCACAUCUGCUCCCACACCGCAGCACCAAUGAAAUCUGGCCGGACAUCUCUAAGUGUCUGUCCAUCCGCCAUCUUGGUCUGGGCCUUCUUCUUCCAAUCAUAGACCCACUUGUGCCAAUUCAUCUCGAGAUACUUCCCGAGAACAGUGCUGCCGUGGGCUUCCUGCCCGUCCUCAAAGCGAUAAUAUCUCUGCAAUACAACAUAUGAAUAUCAGCAAUUACUUAAUUAGUAGACAACAUAAAACAAAGCGGUAAAUAAAUAUUCAAAAGCACAAAUUAAAACUAAAUAUGAAUGAAUGACAUCUUACCCUAAACUCAGCAAUAAUCAGCCCACGUGUGCGGCCAUCCACAUCCUCCCACCUCAUCCACGGGCUAGAGAAUCGGUUGCGGACGAUCCCAAGCAACGUGUUCCUUGGCGUCGCGUCAAGGAUACUAAAAAUGAAGGUAGUUAAAUUUCCAAAUUAUAAAGAAUAUAUAAAAGAACUAAAUAAUUAAUACAAACAUAAUGUAUAUAUUACCUAGUAGUCCCGACACGGCAUAUAAGCGGCGCCGCCUAGGGGGGAUUCCCUAGCAAUCCAUGUGCUAGUCCCCGCAGAGGCCUACGUCGAUCACCUAUGUAGUGAAAUACAAAAAUAUUUAUAUUCUUGAAUAUAAUGUCAAUAUUAUAUAAAAUUAAAAACAAUAAGAUGUAUAACAACAAAACUUGUAAUUAUACCUGAUGAUCCAGCCUGAUCAUCACCAGCACUACCUCCACGGCCCCCACGGCCUGAACUACCAGCACGUCCACCACGAUCACCGUGUGGUGUACGCGCCAUAUCUGUAUAUAUACUGUCAAAUCAUCAUCAAGAAGAUAAUAUGUGAAUACAACUAAAAGGAUACAACUAUUACAUUUGAAUACAACUAAAAGGACAUAAAGAGUACAUACUCCUAAUCAUUUAUAUCAUCAAAGCCAUCAAUAUCAGAAUCUUCAUCUUCGAGCAGUAGAUCUUCACUAUCGUUGUCAUCACCAUCUUCGUCAUCCUCAACGAUUUCUUCAAUUAUAUCUACCUCCUCAACAACAUCGUCUUCACUUUCGACAGCGACAACAUCAUCCUCUUCUUCACUAGACUCACUAAUAAUGGUCACAUCAGCAGGUGUGACACUAGUAGACUCGACUUGUAAAGGUUCAUCGUCUGGACGAGGAGCUGUGCCUUGAAAACCACGGGCUUUGGUGGUUAUAACAGCAUGCCAUGGGCUUGCAGAAGUCUUAACACUCCGCGCAUAGUACACCUGUGUUGCUUGACUUGCUAAAAUAAAUGGCUCGCCCAUACCAAUCAUCAGUCUUAGUUUUGACUUAACGUUAACAAUCACCCGUCCUGAUAUUUUAUCUAUUUUAACUCCAUUCUCAACAUCAAACCAAUGACAAUUGAAGCAAACUAAUUCUUUAUGACCCCAAUAUUUGAGAAUGACAACUUCUAUCAAUCGUCCAUACCAGUCAUCCCAAAUGUUAUCAUAGCAGCUACCUUUCACCACAACACCAGAAUCAGCAGAAGCGACAUCCCCAAUAUCACAACACUUAAAUCUGUAACCGUUGACAAUGCAACAUGUAUAAGUAUCUACAGAUCUUUCAGGGUCGUCGGCUAUAAGCUUUAGCCGAUUGUCAGCUAACUCAUCUGUGAGGACCUAAUGUACAUUAACACAACAUAUUCUAAAGUUAAUUACGCCAUAAGAAGAAAUCUAUGAUGGUAGAUUCAUUGAACUUGUAAAGGUUAGACUUACAUGGUCUUUAAACCAUUGCACAAAUUCUCCAUUUCUCAAAUUUUUCAAAUCCCCAUCCGAUAUACUCGGAUUCGCUUCACGUACUUCAACAUCAUAUUGACUGCAACACAGUUAUAUACUUAAUGUUUUUGUAAAGGAAAUUGACACAGUUACACCAGACAUAUAUAGUUAUGACUACUUACUUAAUGUAUGGCGCUACUUCAUUUAUGUUGACAAGUGCAUACAAUGUGGCAGCUGCAUACUCCUUAUCGGUCAAGAAUCGCCUUUUUUUACCGCCGAAUGGGCGUACAAGAUGACUAAAUGCCGUUAAUUCCCCAUUUUCCUCGUGCGCAACAGCCUGAUUUCGACGUAAGAGAUUGUGCUUCGUCUAAACAUCCGGCUCAAAGUACAACGAACAGAAAUUAACAAGUUCCUCCAUAACAUACCUUUCAGCAAUUGACCCCUCUACAUGGGCUCUAUUCUUCACCUUUUUCUUUAGACGUCGCAUAUACCUAUGUGAUAUAUAGAUUAGCAAAAAAGAAUGAACAUUUUAUCGUAUUAAAAAUAUUAAUGUCAUUACCUCUCGAAUGGAUACAUCCAUCUAUAUUGCACGGGACCGCCAGACUUAGCUUCGUAUGGCAAGUGAAUAGGCAAAUGCUCUAUUGAAUCAAAAAACGAUGAAGGGAAGAUCAUUUCUAACUUGCACAUUAUUUCCACUAUCUGCAUCUCCAUUUUAUCUAUGUCUUUGAGCUGAAGCUCCGUUAAGCAUAGAUCUCUGAAGAAAUUAGAAAGCUCUGUCAGUGCUUCAACCACACGUUUUGGUAACAAGUCGAUAAAUGCCACAGGGAUCAACUUCUGCAUGAAUACGUGAUAAUCAUGACUUUUGAGACCCCAAAACUUCAGCUCUUCGACUUUACAACACCUUGCUAUAUUCGAAGAAUAUCCAUCUGGGAGCUUCAGUCCACUAAUCCAAUUACAUAUCAAUAUCAGUUGUUCCCUGGUCAAAGUAUAUUCAGCUUUAGGCAUUACCGUCUUACUACCUUCCUGAUACAACCACAGAUCUUCCCUAAUGUUCAUUUCUACCAAAUCAAGUCUCGACUUGUUGUUGUCCUUUGUUCUACCACUGACAUCUAGGACUGUAUAAAAAAUGUUAUCAAAUACGUUCUUCUCAGUAUGCAUCGGAUCUAAACAAUGACGGAUGCAGAGUGUAGCCCAAUAAGGUAGGUCAAAGAACAUGGAUCUGUGUGUCCGGUUAUGAACCUUGUCGUAACCAUAAGCUCGCUCCAAUCUAUGAUUCUUCCCUGGAGGUGGAAACUUCAAAUGACUAAUCCAAUUCAACACUGCUGACCCAGAAAGGCGGCCAGGUACUUGACAUUUCUCUGUUUUUCGAUUGAAUUGUCUACUCAUCCGUCGAUAACGAUGUUCAAUCGGCAAAAAUUGUCUGGAUGUUGCAAAAAAACUCAUUUUCCCCUCAUGUUUGAGCCGCAUAGCUUUAACUGACCCCAUGCACACGGGACAUGAUAAGCCCCCGUGAGUCGACCAUCCACUGAUCAUUCCUAAAGCCAGGAAGUCAUUUAUUGUCCACAGUAAAGCUACCCUCAUGUCAAAGUUCUGCUUAAGAGAUACAUCAUAAGUUUGAACCCCUUUUUUCCACAACAUCUUCAACUCAUCAACUAACGGCCUGAGGUAUACAUUGAUGUCUUUACUCAGACUCUUAUCACCUGGAAUCAGUAAUGGCAUGAACAUGUAGGGAUCUUUCAUGCACAUCGAAGGUGGGAGGUUAUACACCACAAUAAUCACCAGCCAAGUUGAGUAGGGCUUUGUGUAAGGCCCGUUAAACGGAUUAAACCCAUCCGUAGCAAGUCCAAGCCUAACAUUGUGAACUUCUUCAGCAAACGAGGGGUGCUUGUUAUCAAAAUUUUUCCACUCAAGCCCAUCUGCCGGGUGCGUCAGUUGACCUUCGACUAUGUCCCGUGUAGAGUGCCACCUCAUAUCCUCGGCGGUAUGUGUUGACAUGAACAACCGCUGAAGCCUCGGGGCAACGGGAAAGUAACGUAAGAUCUUUCUCGGCACGUCUUUUCCCUUUUUGUUGCGCUGUUCACAGUAUCUACUUGUACCACAAAUAUCACAUGACCUCUUAUCUUUAUUAACAUCACCGUAAUACAACAUACAGUCAUUCUCACAAGCAUCAAUCUUCUCAUACCCUAGAUUGAACCUUUUGACCAUUUUCUUCACAUCAUAGUACGACUCCGGUAACUUAUUGCCUGCAGGUAAGCACUCCUUCACAAUGCUUAACAGUUCAUUAAAACCUCUCUCGCUACAGUCUUGCUCGUUCUUGAAGUGUAAAAACUUAGUCACGGCAGAUAAGACAGUGUGUUUUUCAUGCCCGUCAUACAAUGGCGUCACUGCUUCAUGCAAUAACUCAUAGAAACCCUUAGCCCCAUCAUUCGGCUCUUGCUCGACGCUACUGCCAUCCCUGUCUGUAUUCCACUGGAAGUAUGAACCAGUAGCUUCGACUAUCAUGUUAGUACAGUCAAAUGUUUCGUCACCUCCGGAUUCCGGUUCUGAUUCAUAUUCAUCCAACCAGGUUUCCCCAUGAUAGAUCCAUGUCGUAUAACCCUGCUUGAACCCAUACGCAAAUAAGUCGCACAUGACAUCACUCCUUUCCUUCCACACUUCAUUCACACACCUCUUACAAGGACAUCUGAUCUCAUCGCCGCUAACUUGCUCAAACGCAAAGUUAAGAAACUGUUCAACCCCAUUACGAUACUCAGAGCUAAGCCCACUCCUAUCACUGGCUACCCUACGUUCCAUCCAACUUCGAUCAAUAGACAUCUCGAACAACUGUCUGCUAUAUAUAUGGAAAGUUAGACAAACACAAUCAAGUCUCCAAGUUAAUGUAUAUGCAAGCUUAUGCGUUUCCUAACUUCAUCUCCCACUCUAACGGGUCAGGCUUCUAUCCCAUUCUUGGAUGUGUCGCCUCACUGAUGCCAACAACUUGAACACAUCUUUAUAUUUUCAGAAAUUUCGGCAGCACCUCCCCAUGGUCUUCAAGUACACGAAAUAGACUAACACAUCGUAGUCUAAAUAUGCACCCGAAGAACAUCAAGAGACAUAUACUGACCAAAAAUUCAAAAAAUAUAAAGACGUGCUCAAGUCGUUAACACCGACCUAAGUGAGAUCGAAACAUACAAGAACAGUCCUAAAACGGGGACUAUUUGAGAUUCACUCCUACUAAGUGAAUCUCAAACGGGUUUCUAAGCUUUCUAAACUAUAUGAAAAUAUGCACAUGUCAAAGUAUAAUGAGCUGGUAAAUUUCUUUAACCCACCCUCAAAUAGGAAAAAAACAAAUAAAUAUUGUUUUUGAAUGUGCUUUCAACUAACUAAGCAAAUAACUAGCAGUUUCUACAAAAUUCAGUUUGUAAGGAGAAAGGAUUCACCUUCAAACAUAACUUCUUUGGAAAUAUAUUCCCAAUCACCGCUUAGUAUAUUUCAAAGAUUGCGGUUAAGUUCAAUGGAUUUUUUCUUUUCACUUCACUUUCCAAAUGCAGGUCAAACAAAAGAUAAGCUAAUCAAGUAUUAGACCCUAAAAUAAUACAAAGAAAUCUAACAUAAUCAUACAAAGCAAAAGAUAGAGAAUUGGCUAAAGCAAUUCCUAAUCAGAAUUGGGGAUGCCCCUACAACCAGAACAAGUAAUUAUGCAAAUUGCGCGUUAGCUAGUCGUUCAUAUUACGCAAUUACAGUCAGUCACUGCAUCAAAAUUAAUAAAAUCUCCAUAUAUACUUCUUGCUUUAAUUUAAGCUUGAUAAACCCCUUCUGAUUAAACAUUAAAGAAGUCGAAGUGUAAACACCAUUUCACAACUAAAAAGGAAUAACCCAAUAAAGCAAACAAUGAGAUUAUUUAACUACUAACACAAUUAGAUUAAAGCAAAUAUGCCUAAAACUUUUAAAUAAAUAAAAUCAGAUAAUUAGUUCCAACAAAAUAAGAAUAACGAAAUCAUACCUAUUGCAAGUUGUGGGAAAACAAGAGUAAAGAAGAAGGAGAGAUGGAGCUGACCGGAAGGAGAGGGGGAGAGUCGCCGGAGAGGGGGAGGGUCGCCGGAAGGUAUGGCAGAGGGGGGAGAGACGCUGGAGGUGGCCGGCAGGAGGGGGGAGAAAAUCGUCGGAGGUGGCAGGAGGGGGGGAAGCUCACAUUAAUUGAUGCUCAAAUUGGCCGGAGGUGGCAGGAGGGGGAGAGAGUCGUCGGUCGGAAGGUAUAUCAGAGGAGGGAAAAGAAAGAGGGAAAUGAAAAGUAGUCGUUCCCGUCGAGAUGAGGGUUUUAAAAUUAGACUCAUUCUCGACGGCAACGCCAUCAUGAGUAACACCGUCGCCUAUGACUCAUUAUCGACGGCACUAGCGACGGACGUGCCGUCGUCAAUGCCUUUUCCCAUGCCCGCGAAAAAUUUCCCACCAAAACUGACCCGGGAUAUGUCAUUAUCGACGGGCCAUAUUGGCGACGGCUAGGCCGUCGCUAAUGAGUGUAAUAUCGACGGGGAUUCCACCGUCGAUAAUGAUGUCGUCGCUAUUGACUUGUUUUUUUGUAGUGGUACUAAUUCAUAUUUAAGCCUAUAUAAUACUCCCUCCGUUCUUAAAAGAUUGUCGUUUUAAGAGAAAAAAUUUAUUUCAAAAAGUUUGUCGUUUACAACUUUCGAGGAGAAUAAAUUAUUUAUUUUCCUAUAUUACCCCUACCUUCUCUCAUUGUGCCAAAAAAUUCUCUCCCUUGUAUUAAUAGUUUUCAAUUUUCCAUGAAGGGGUAGUGAUAAAAUUUCAAACAAAUUUUACUUGAUAAAUAACACUUCCUUAAUUCAUGUGUCAAAACCUUAAACGAUAAUUUUUUAGGAACAGAGAAAAUAUAUUGAUAAAGUGUGAGGCUUGAGUAACCGCUCUUUGAUGAUUUUUGGUCACAACCUAUGAUUAAUUAGGAAAAAAAAAUAGUUAGUUUGACUUUCAACGACAUUUACAUUUUAUUCAAUCUUAAUUUUUAACUUCCUCCUCUCUCUUCCACCCUCUAUCAUCUCCUAAAUUCUCACACAUGAUUUCUUUCUAUCAACUUUAAAACUCUUUAUCCAAAUAUUAUUAUAUCUCAAAUAUAAUAACAAUAAAAUCUAACCCUAAAUUAUACACACGCACCGCGCGUGUCCACUAUAUUUCAUAGAAGGCUCCACUAUUUCUGUAAAUUAUACACAUUAAAGAGUUUGUAUUACCGGUGCUUAUCACGAUAACAUUUACAGUGUUUAGAUCUCCGAACAAUAUGUUUAUAACAAUAUGUUUAUGAGUUAAAUAAAUUAUUAUUAAAUGAAUAAAAUUUUAAAGUGUAUUUAAACUUUCAAAAGAGUGUCAAACAGUACAAACACAGAGUAACUAAUAGGACAUUUGUAAAUACUAGUGUGGAGCCUAGCGGAGCUCGGGCUGAAGGUCCCGAACGUAACAAAACGGAACGAAGCGACGUACUAGGCCAUCAAAAUUUGC
rnacentral:lncRNA from 1 species